rnacentral:rRNA from 1 species
UUGCUCUUUGCCCGCGAGCGGGAGGGGGAUAACUACUGGAAACGGUAUCUAAUACCGCAUAACGUCACAAGACCAAAGAGGGGGACCUUCGGGCCUCUUGCCAUCAUAUGUGCCCAGAUGGGAUUAGCUAGUAGGUGGGGUAACGGCUCACCUAGGCGACUAUCCCUAUCUGGUCUGAGAGGAUGACCACCCACACUGGAACUGACACACGGUCCAGACUCCUACGGGAGGCAGCAGUGGGGAAUAUUGCACAGUGGGCGCAAGCCUGAUGCACCCAUGCCGCGUGUAUGAAAAAGGCCUUCGGGUUGUAAAGUACUUUCAGCGGGGAGGAAGGCGUUGAGGUUAAUAACCUCAGCGAUUGACGUUACCCGCAAAAGAAGCACCGGCUAACUCCGUGCCAGCAGCCGCGGUAAUACGGAGGGUGCAAGCGUUAAUCGGAAUUACUGGGCGUAAAGCGCACGCAGGCGGUCUGUCAAGUCAGAUGUGAAAUCCCCGGGCUCAACCUGGGAACUGCAUUCGAAACUGGCAGGCUAGAGUCUUGUAGAGGGGGGUAGAAUUCCGGGUGUAGCGGUGAAAUGCGUAGAGAUCUGGAAGAAUACCGGUGGCGAAGGCGGCCCCCUGGACAAAGACUGACGCUCAUGUGCGAAAGCGUGGGGAGCAAACGAGAUUAUAUACCCUGGUAGUCCACGCCGUACACGAUGUCGACUUGGAGGUUGUGCCCUUGACGCGUGUCUUCCGGAGCUAACGCGUUAACUCCACCGCCUGGAGAGUACGGCCGCAAGGUUAAAACUCAUAUGAAUUGACGGGGGCCCGCACAAGCGGGUGGAGCGUGUGGUUUUUAUUUCUAUGCCACGCGAAGAACUCUUUACCCUACUCUUGACAUCCAGAGAUCUUACCAGAGAUUGCUUUUGGUGCUCUUCGGGAACU